GGAGCUUGCUCCUUUGACAUUAGCGGCGGACGGGUGAGUAACACGUGGGCAACCUGCCCCUUAGACUGGGAUAACUCCGGGAAACCGGAGCUAAUACCGGAUAAUCCCUUUCUCCACCUGGAGAGAGGGUGAAAGAUGGCUUCGGCUAUCACUAGGGGAUGGGCCCGCGGCGCAUUAGCUAGUUGGUAAGGUAACGGCUUACCAAGGCNACGAUGCGUAGCCGACCUGAGAGGGUGAUCGGCCACACUGGGACUGAGACACGGCCCAGACUCCUACGGGAGGCAGCAGUAGGGAAUCUUCCGCAAUGGACGAAAGUCUGACGGAGCAACGCCGCGUGAGUGAGGAAGGCCUUCGGGUCGUAAAGCUCUGUUGUGAGGGAAGAAGCGGUGCCGUUCGAAUAGGGCGGUACCUUGACGGUACCUCACCANAAAGCCACGGCUAACUACGUGCCAGCAGCCGCGGUAAUACGUAGGUGGCAAGCGUUGUCCGGAAUUAUUGGGCGUAAAGCGCGCGCAGGCGGCUUCUUAAGUCUGAUGUGAAAUCUCGGGGCUCAACCCCGAGCGGCCAUUGGAAACUGGGGAGCUUGAGUGCANAAGAGGAGAGUGGAAUUCCACGUGUAGCGGUGAAAUGCGUANAAAUGUGGAGGAACACCAGUGGCGA
rnacentral:rRNA from 2 species